rnacentral:rRNA from 1 species
GGCGAAGCGUGCGAUUGGAUUGCACGUCUAAGCAGUAAGGCUGAGUAUUAGGCAAAUCCGGUACUCGUUAAGGCUGAGCUGUGAUGGGGAGAAGACAUUGUGUCUUCGAGUCGUUGAUUUCACACUGCCGAGAAAAGCCUCUAGAUAGAAAAUAGGUGCCCGUACCGCAAACCGACACAGGUAGUCAAGAUGAGAAUUCUAAGGUGAGCGAGCGAACUCUCGUUAAGGAACUCGGCAAAAUGACCCCGUAACUUCGGGAGAAGGGGUGCUCUUUAGGGUUAACGCCCAGAAGAGCCGCAGUGAAUAGGCCCAAGCGACUGUUUAUCAAAAACACAGGUCUCUGCUAAACCGUAAGGUGAUGUAUAGGGGCUGACGCCUGCCCGGUGCUGGAAGGUUAAGAGGAGUGGUUAGCUUCUGCGAAGCUACGAAUCGAAGCCCCAGUAAACGGCGGCCGUAACUAUAACGGUCCUAAGGUAGCGAAAUUCCUUGUCGGGUAAGUUCCGACCCGCACGAAAGGCGUAACGAUUUGGGCACUGUCUCAACGAGAGACUCGGUGAAAUCAUAGUACCUGUGAAGAUGCAGGUUACCCGCGACAGGACGGAAAGACCCCGUGGAGCUUUACUGUAGCCUGAUAUUGAAAUUCGGCACAGCUUGUACAGGAUAGGUAGGAGCCUUUGAAACGUGAGCGCUAGCUUACGUGGAGGCGCUGGUGGGAUACUACCCUAGCUGUGUUGGCUUUCUAACCCGCACCACUUAUCGUGGUGGGAGACAGUGUCAGGCGGGCAGUUUGACUGGGGCGGUCGCCUCCUAAAAGGUAACGGAGGCGCUCAAAGGUUCCCUCAGAAUGGUUGGAAAUCAUUCAUAGAGUGUAAAGGCAUAAGGGAGCUUGACUGCGAGACCUACAAGUCGAGCAGGGUCGAAAGACGGACUUAGUGAUCCGGUGGUUCCGCAUGGAAGGGCCAUCGCUCAACGGAUAAAAGCUACCCCGGGGAUAACAGGCUUAUCUCCCCCAAGAGUUCACAUCGACGGGGAGGUUUGGCACCUCGAUGUCGGCUCAUCGCAUCCUGGGGCUGUAGUCGGUCCCAAGGGUUGGGCUGUUCGCCCAUUAAAGCGGUACGCGAGCUGGGUUCAGAACGUCGUGAGACAGUUCGGUCCCUAUCCGUCGUGGGCGUAGGAAAUUUGAGAGGAGCUGUCCUUAGUACGAGAGGACCGGGAUGGACAUACCUCUGGUGUACCAGUUGUCGUGCCAACGGCAUAGCUGGGUAGCUAUGUGUGGACGGGAUAAGUGCUGAAAGCAUCUAAGCAUGAAGCCCCCCUCAAGAUGAGAUUUCCCAACUUCGGUUAUAAGAUCCCUCAAAGAUGAUGAGGUUAAUAGGUUCGAGGUGGAAGCAUGGUGACAUGUGGAGCUGACGAAUACUAAUCGAUCGAAGACUUAAUCAA